rnacentral:rRNA from 1 species
AGUGAACGCUGGCGGUAGGCCUAACACAUGCAAGUCGAACGGCAGCACAGUAAGAGCUUGCUCUUACGGGUGGCGAGUGGCGGACGGGUGAGGAAUACAUCGGAAUCUACUUUUUCGUGAGGGAUAACGUAGGGAAACUUACGCUAAUACCGCAUACGACCUACGGGUGAAAGCAGGGGAUCUUCGGACCUUGCGCGAUUGAAUGAGCCGAUGUCGGAUUAGCUAGUUGACGGGGUAAAGGCCCACCAAGGCGACGAUCCGUAGCUGGUCUGAGAGGAUGAUCGGCCACACUGGAACUGAGACACGGUCCAGACUCCUACGGGAGGCAGCAGUGGGGAAUAUUGGACAAUGGGCGCAAGCCUGAUCCAGCCAUGCCGCGUGGGUGAAGAAGGCCUUCGGGUUGUAAAGCCCUUUUGUUGGGAAAGAAAAGCAGCAGGUUAAUACCCCGCUGUUCUGACGGUACCCAAAGAAUAAGCACCGGCUAACUUCGUG